rnacentral:snRNA from 2 species
AUUGGUCAUGGCAAAAUUUAGUAUUAUCAAAUUUUGGUAGGUUUAUUUUCGAUUUUGCUAUAUCUCACUCGAAAGAUUUUUUCUUAUCUCUCACUCGAUUUUCUCACUUAAAUUUACAGUGCAUUUUCUUGUAAGUUACAGUGUAAUUUAUGAAACUUACAUUGUAAUUUGUAAGUUACAGUGUAAUUUUU